rnacentral:rRNA from 1 species
UACGGGGGGAGCAAGCGUUGUUCGGAUUUACUGGGCGUAAAGGGCGCGUAGGCGGCGUGACAAGUCACUUGUGAAAUCUCCGGGCUUAACUCGGAACGGUCAAGUGAUACUGUCGUGCUAGAGUACAGAAGGGGCAGCUGGAAUUCUCGGUGUAGCGGUGAAAUGCGCAGAUAUCAGGAGGAACACCAAUGCGAAGGCAGCUCGCUGGGACGGUACUGACGCUGAGGCGCGAAAGCGUGGGGAGCAAACAGG